GCCGGGCAUGGUGGCGCAUGCCUGUAAUCCCACCUACUCGGGAGGCUGAGGCAGGAGAAUCGCUUGAACCCAGGAGGUGGAGAUUGCAGUGAGCUGAGAUCGCACCAUUGCACUCCAGCCUGGGCAACAGAGCAAGACUCUGUCUCAA
rnacentral:sRNA from 1 species